rnacentral:misc_RNA from 1 species
UAAAAAUCUGGAUUGCUUAUAUACCAAAUAAGAAAAAUAAAUUAUAUCCCAAAGAAAAAUAAAUUAUAUUCCAAAACUUACAUUCAAUUUCUAUUUUCAGAGUAAACCAAACGUGGCCCAACAAUCCAAGGCCGAGUCACACAAGGUAGGGAACUACCCAUCUUUGGAGAUCUCAAUUCCAUGAUAAUCUCAAUGAAGGAAAUCAACAACAAUCCAAAAAUUAACGGCUACAAUUUGGGUAGCCUCUUAUAGCCUCUUCUUGUUAUAAGAUGAUUUCCUCCUGCACACUACCGUUAAUGAUCUUAUUUGGAAGAACAAUACAGUUAGUAACAACAACUUCAUCUUCAACUGUCACAGCUUCUCCAAGAAUGGUUAUUCCAAGCUUUGUAUUGUAGUCUCCAUCAGCCUGGACUCUUGACCAUCUUCCUAGAGAUGAUUUCCAACCAAUAAUAGAAUGCAUAACAACUGCAUUUUCCUGAAUUUCAACAUCAUCUAAAAUAAUGCAACUUAUAAGCCUCACUCCUGCUCCUACACGAACAUUUGCUGAAACAGAGACAUUGGGGCCAAUCUGUAUCAUAAGCAACUAAUUAGUUAGAUGGUAAUAAAAGAGAGUAAAACAAAAAAAAACAGAAGGAUGGAUGAAGAAAGGAGAUUGCUGAAAAAUGGUCCCUUGAGUGAUUUCUAUUAUUUGUGCAAUUUCCUAACCCGCCUCCACUCCACAGACACUGGCUUUAUAUUAAUAAACUCAACAGACAAUUAAUCUAUAUAAUCAUAGGUCCCAAACCUUGCUUUCACCAUCCAUAUUCCACAAUCUCUCGCCCUAGUGCCUGCCCCAAAAGGUGAUUUUUGUGUUAAACUAGAAUGUUCAAUGGAACAUUUAAGUAAGAUAAGAAUUCUUUACUCAUUAUAAACAAUUGGAUCAUUAUGUAAGAAGACAAUUUUAAUUUCCAUUAUGUUCUGGCAUAUGGUGAUGGUCAUUACGUCUCACUAUAAGGAUGCUCAACAACUUGUUUUUGUUCCUCCUGGCUCCUGCCAGUCCAUCUAUGUUUAAUUUAUUAGGUGACUAAACUGCCAUAUCUAUCAAAACUACUUGUUCUACUCCAGAAGCUAAUCAAAAUUUUGUGCAGCACCCUCAUCAUUCUUUCUCCCAUUGGGUUGGAUGAGUGGAACUAGAGGAAAAUUCAACUAUAAACUAGUUUUAGAGUUCUAGUCAAGCAUUAGUCUCUUAGAAACAAACUUCAAACAUCCUAAAUAGUGUUUCUAUGACCCUAAACAUUGACAGCUAUCUCAAUACUUUCUUGCCACCAAUAACUUGAUCUGAAACUGAAAUCAUUAAAACUAAACUCGAUCAAUUAAUUCCAACCCAUGAUAAACAAUGGUAUGAUAGAAGUAAAAAAUUUCAUAAAGUUCAGUGACCAAAGUGAUUAGGCUAAUUAGCCAUAAGAACAAUAGGGAAACCCAAUUAAUAAAAACCAUGGUAGAAAGAUAUAACUGUGAAAAGAGAAUUUUAUAACAGUUAUGUAAAGAUCAGUUAUACCGUGCACGACACAAAGCCCUUUGGGCUGAGGGUUUCAAUUCCUAGGCAUGAAUAUAAACUAAACAAAGUCACUGAAUAUAAAUGAGGCCAGGUCUGGCAAUCAAGAUGGAAAGCCUGGCACACCUUUCUAAGGGAGCAUGAUUUUGACAGGUGGUUACAGAUAAAAUCACAAGAGCUGAAAGCCAAAAAUCGAGCAAAACAUGGCGUGACUAUUUGUAUACUUGUUUAGUAUAACUUCAUACUGUCACAGAAUAUUGCCAUGCUAAUGUAUGUUGGAAGAAAACAAAAGACCUUUGCAGUUGGGUGCACUUUUGCUGAUGGAUGAAUAUAAACAUCACCGAUAAUGCUCGCAUUCCUAGAUCCAUCCCCAGUGGCCAACAGAUGAGGAGAGGUAAAUUGAUAUUGGGA